GUACAUCCAGAGAACUUAGCAGAGAUGCUUUGGUGCCUUCGGGAACUCUGAGACAGGUGCUGCAUGGCUGUCGUCAGCUCGUGUUGUGAAAUGUUGGGUUAAGUCCCGNAACGAGCGCAACCCUUAUCCUUUGUUGCCAGCGGCUCGGCCGGGAACUCAAAGGAGACUGCCGGUGAUAAACCGGAGGAAGGUGGGGAUGACGUCAAGUCAUCAUGGCCCUUACGGCCAGGGCUACACACGUGCUACAAUGGCGCAUACAAAGAGAAGCGACCUCGCGAGAGCAAGCGGACCUCAUAAAGUGCGUCGUAGUCCGGAUUGGAGUCUGCAACUCGACUCCAUGAAGUCGGAAUCGCUAGUAAUCGUAGAUCAGAAUGCUACGGUGAAUACGUUCCCGGGCCUUGUACACACCGCCCGUCACACCAUGGGAGUGGGUUGCAAAAGAAGUAGGUAGCUUAACCUUCGGGAGGGCGCUUACCACUUUGUGAUUCAUGACUGGGGUGAAGUCGUAACAAGGUAAGCGUACGUGU
rnacentral:rRNA from 1 species